CAGCACCUCAAGUGGUCAGGAUGAUUAUUGGGCCUAAAGCGUCCGUAGCCGGCUCUGUAAGUUUUCGGUUAAAUCUGUACGCUCAACGUACAGGCUGCCGGGAAUACUGCAGAGCUAGGGAGUGGGAGAGGUAGACGGUACUCGGUAGGAAGGGGUAAAAUCCUUUGAUCUAUUGAUGACCACCUGUGGCGAAGGCGGUCUACCAGAACACGUCCGACGGUGAGGGAUGAAAGCUGGGGGAGCAAACCGGAUUAGAUACCCGAGUAGUCC
rnacentral:rRNA from 1 species